rnacentral:rRNA from 1 species
AUUGAACGCUAGCGGCAGGCUUAACACAUGCAAGUCGAGCGAGUGGCGGACGGGUGAGUAAUGUCUGGGAAACUGCCUGAUGGAGGGGGAUAACUACUGGAAACGGUGGCUAAUACCGCAUACCAUCAGAUGUGCCCAUAUGGGAUUAGCUAGUAGGUGGGGUAAUGGCUCACCUAGGCGACGAUCCCUAGCUGGUUUGAGAGGAGGACCAGCCACACUGGGACUGAGACACGGCCCAGACUCCUACGGGAGGCAGCAGUGGGGAAUAUUGCACAAUGGGGGAAAGCCUGAUGCAGCCAUGCCGCGUGUAUGAAGAAGGCCUUCGGGUUGUAAAGUACUUUUGGCAGGGAAGCGGUACCUGCAGAAGAAGCACCGGCUAACUACGUGCCAGCAGCCGCGGUAAUUC